rnacentral:rRNA from 1 species
CCACCACUAAGCCAGUGGUGAACUCCACAUACGCAUCCUUUGCUGAGGAUACGGUUAACGGAGCGAAAGCGACGUUCAACCGCAAAAGAAGCAGAGGGGGCUUAGUGGUGGGGUGACUGCGUACCUUUUGUAUAAUGGGUCAGCGACUUAUAUUCUGUAGCAAGGUUAACCGAAUAGGGGAGCCGGAGGGAAACCGAGUCUUAAUUGGGCGUUAAGUUGCAGGGUAUAGACCCGAAACCCGGUGAUCUAGCCAUGGGCAGGUUGAAGGUUGGGUAACACUAACUGGAGGACCGAACCGACUAAUGUUGAAAAAUUAGCGGAUGACCUGUGGCUGGGGGUGAAAGGCCAAUCAAACCGGGAGAUAGCUGGUUCUCCCCGAAAGCUAUUUAGGUAGCGCCUCGUGAAUUCAUCUCCGGGGGUAGAGCACUGUUUCGGCUAGGGGGCCAUCCCGGCUUACCAACCCGAUGCAAACUGCGAAUACCGGAGAAUGUUAUCACGGGAGACACACGGCGGGUGCUAACGUCCGUCGUGAAGAGGGAAACAACCCAGACCGCCAGCUAAGGUCCCAAAGUCAUGGUUAAGUGGGAAACGAUGUGGGAAGGCCCAGACAGCCAGGAUGUUGGCUUAGAAGCAGCCAUCAUUUAAAGAAAGCGUAAUAGCUCACUGGUCGAGUCGGCCUGCGCGGAAGAUGUAACGGGGCUAAACCAUGCACCGAAGCUGCGGCAGCGAACGUAUCACCCAAGACAACUUUACGGAGUUGACGAUUGACGGAGCGAAGCGACGUCAAAGCGUUCAUUAAAGUCGAGUUGGCUUAGGGAUACGUUCGUUGGGUAGGGGAGCGUUCUGUAAGCCUGUGAAGGUGUGUCGUGAGGCAUGCUGGAGGUAUCAGAAGUGCGAAUGCUGACAUAAGUAACGAUAAAGCGGGUGAAAAGCCCGCUCGCCGGAAGACCAAGGGUUCCUGUCCAACGUUAAUCGGGGCAGGGUGAGUCGACCCCUAAGGCGAGGCCGAAAGGCGUAGUCGAUGGGAAACGGGUUAAUAUUCCCGUACUUGGUGUUACUGCGAAGGGGGGACGGAGAAGGCUAUGUUGGCCGGGCGACGGUUGUCCCGGUUUAAGCGUGUAGGUGUGUGUUCCAGGUAAAUCCGGUU